rnacentral:rRNA from 1 species
GACGAACGCUGGCGGCGUGCUUAACACAUGCAAGUCGAACGGAAAGGCCCUGCUUUUGUGGGGUGCUCGAGUGGCGAACGGGUGAGUAACACGUGAGUAACCUGCCCUUGACUUUGGGAUAACUUCAGGAAACUUGGGCUAAUACCGUAUAGGAGCUCCUGCUGCAUGGUGGGGGUUGGAAAGUUUCGGCGGUUGGGGGUGGACUCGCGGCUUAUCAGCUUGGUGGUGGGGUAGUGGCUUACCAAGGCUUUGACGGGUAGCCGGCCUGAGAGGGUGACCGGCCACAUUGGGACUGAGAUACGGCCCAGACUCCUACGGGAGGCAGCAGUGGGGAAUAUUGCACAAUGGGCGGAAGCCUGAUGCAGCAACGCCGCGUGCGGGAUGACGGCCUUCGGGUUGUAAACCGCUUUCGCCUGUGACGAAGCGUGAGUGACGGUAAUGGGUAAAGAAGCACCGGCUAACUACGUG